rnacentral:rRNA from 1 species
UACGGAGGGGGCCAGCGUUGUUCGGAAUCAUUGGGCGUAAAGAGCUCGUAGGCGGUUUGGCGCGUCGAAUGUGAAAACCCGGGGCUCAACCCCGGGCCUGCAUUCGAUACGGGCAGACUAGAGUUCGGUAGGGGAGUCUGGAAUUCCUGGUGUAGCGGUGAAAUGCGCAGAUAUCAGGAGGAACACCGGUGGCGAAGGCGGGACUCUGGGCCGAUACUGACGCUGAGGAGCGAAAGCGUGGGGAGCAAACAGG